rnacentral:rRNA from 1 species
GGUUUAAUUCGAAGCAACGCGAACGAACCUUUACCAGGUUCUUGACACUCCGAUGUCUUAUUUCUAGAGAUAGAAAGUUACUUCGGUACAUCGGUGACAGGUGGUGCAUGGUUGUCGUCAGCUCGUGUCGUGAGAUGUUGGGUUAAGUCCCGCAACGAGCGCAACCCCUAUUGUUAGUUGCUAACGCGUGAAGGCGAGCACUCUAGACGAACUGCCGUUGACAAACGGAGGAAGUGGGAUGACGUCAAAUCAUCAUGCCCCUUAUGUUCUGGGCUACACACGUGCUACAAUGGCCGGUACAGACGGAGGCGAAGCCGCGAGGCGGAGCAAAUCCGAAAAAGCCGGUCUCAGUUCGGAUUGCAGGCUGCAAUUCGCCUGCAUGAAGUCGGAAUCGCUAGUAAUCGCAGGUCAGCAUGCCGCGGUGAAUACGUUCCCGGGCCUU